UGCAAGCACGACAGGUUAAUCCGAGUGGUUUCUGCUAAAGGAACCUUUUGUUAGUCCUAGAAACACUAACGAAUAAGGGGUGGGCAAGUUCUGGUGUCAGCCGCCGCGGUAAAACCAGCACCUCAAGUGGUCAGGAUGAUUAUUGGGCCUAAAGCAUCCGUAGCCGGCUCUGUAAGUUUUCGGUUAAAUCUGUACGCUCAACGUACAGGCUGCCGGGAAUACUGCAGAGCUAGGGAGUGGGAGAGGUAGACGGUACUCGGGAGGAAGUGGUAAAAUGCUUUGAUCUCUCGAUGACCACCUGUGGCGAAGGCGGUCUACCAGAACACGUCCGACGGUGAGGGAUGAAAGCUGGGGGAGCAAACCGGAUUAGAUACCCGGGUAGUCCCAGCUGUAAACUAUGCAAACUCAGUGAUGCAUUGGCUUGUGGCCAAUGCAAUAUUGCAGGGAAGCCGUUAAGUUUGCCGCCUGGGAAGUACGUACGCAAGUAUGAAACUUAAAGGAAUUGGCGGGGGAGCAC
rnacentral:rRNA from 1 species